CCUACGGGAGGCAGCAGUGGGGAAUAUUGCACAAUGGGCGCAAGCCUGAUGCAGCCAUGCCGCGUGUGUGAAGAAGGCCUUCGGGUUGUAAAGCACUUUCAGCGGGGAGGAAGGCGGUGAGGUUAAUAACCUCAUCGAUUGACGUUACCCGCAGAAGAAGCACCGGCUAACUCCGUGCCAGCAGCCGCGGUAAUACGGAGGGUGCAAGCGUGAAUCGGAAUUACUGGGCGUAAAGCGCACGCAGGCGGUCUGUCAAGUCGGAUGUGAAAUCCCCGGGCUCAACCUGGGAACUGCAUUCGAAACUGGCAGGCUAGAGUCUUGUAGAGGGGGGUAGAAUUCCAGGUGUAGCGGUGAAAUGCGUAGAGAUCUGGAGGAAUACCGGUGGCGAAGGCGGCCCCCUGGACAAAGACUGACGCUCAGGUGCGAAAGCGUGGGGAGCAAACAGGAUUAGAUACCCCUGUAGUC
rnacentral:rRNA from 1 species